UACGUAGGGGGCGAGCGUUGUCCGGAGUUACUGGGCGUAAAGGGCAUGCAGGCGGUCGGACGCGUUUCGGGUGACAGCGGGUGGCUUAACUACCCGAGUGGUCGAAAGACGGUUUGACUUGAGGACGCGAGAGGGACACGGAAUUCCGGGUGGAGUGGCGAAAUGCGUAGAGAUCCGGAGGAACACCGAAGGCGAAGGCAGUGUCCUGGCGCGUAACUGACGCUGAGGUGCGAAAGCCAGGGGAGCGAACGGG
rnacentral:rRNA from 1 species